rnacentral:rRNA from 1 species
UACGGGGGGGGCAAGCGUUGUCCGGAAUCAUUGGGCGUAAAGCGCGCGUAGGCGGCCAGAUAAGUCCGGUGUGAAAGUCGACAGGCUCAACCUGUGAAUGCCGCUGGAAACUGUCUGGCUAGAGUCCGGAAGGGGCGAGUGGAAUUCCCGGUGGUAGCGGUGAAAUGCGGCAGAUAGUCGGGAAGGAACACCUAUGGCGAAGGCAGCUCGCUGGGACGUUACUGACGCUGGAGACGCGAAGCGUGGGGAGCAAACAGG